GCCCGGCUAGCUCAAUCGGUAGAGCGUGAGACUCUUAUACAGGAUUCUCCGAAUAAAUCUCAAGGUUGAGGGUUCGACCCCCACGUCGGGCU